GACGAACGCUGGCGGCGUGCCUAAUACAUGCAAGUCGAGCGGACAAAGAGGACUUUUCUCCUCGAUGUUAGCGGCGGACGGGUGAGUAACACGUGGGCAACCUGCCUUUAAGACUGGGAUAACUUCAGGAAACCGGAGCUAAUACCGGAUAAUGCUUUUGAACUCAUGUUCGAAAUCUGAAAGAUUGUUUCGGCUAUCACUUACAGACGGGCCCGCGGCGUAUUAGUUAGUUGGUGGGUUAACGGCUCACCAAGGCAACGAUGGGUAGCCGAAGUGAGAGGGGGGUCGCCGACACUGGGAGUGAGCCACGGCCCAUGGUCCUACGGGAGGGAGCAGUAGGGAACGUGCUGCAAUGGACGAAAGUAUGACGGAGUAAGGGGGAGUGAGUGAUGGAGGUUUUCGGAUCGUAAAAAUGUGUUGUUAGGGGAGAACCAGUACCGGAGUAACUGACGGUAGAUUGACGGUAACUAGCCAGGAAGCCACGGCUAACUACGUG
rnacentral:rRNA from 1 species